rnacentral:rRNA from 1 species
ACGAACGCUGGCGGCGUGCCUAAUACAUGCCAGUAGAACGCACAGUUUAUACCGUAGCUUGCUACACCAUAGACUGUGAGUUGCGAACGGGUGAGUAACGCGUAGGUAACCUGCCUGGUAGCGGGGGAUAACUAUUGGAAACGAUAGCUAAUACCGCAUAAUAUUGAUUAUUGCAUGAUAAUUGAUUGAAAGAUGCUAUUGCAUCACUACCAGAUGGACCUGCGUUGUAUUAGCUAGUAGGUGAGGUAACGGCUCACCUAGGCGACGAUACAUAGCCGACCUGAGAGGGUGAUCGGCCACACUGGGACUGAGACACGGCCCAGACUCCUACGGGAGGCAGCAGUAGGGAAUCUUCGGCAAUGGACGAAAGUCUGACCGAGCAACGCCGCGUGAGUGAAGAAGGUUUUCGGAUCGUAAAGCUCUGUUGUAAGAGAAGAACGGGUGUGAGAGUGGAAAGUUCACACUGUGACGGUAUCUUACCAGAAAGGGACGGCUAACUACGUG